AAACCCGCCCGGAACCACGCAACCCACACAGGCCACGCACCCCCCGACGGCCCUGUUGCCUCAGGACCCAACAGUGUGCCAAACACGAAAACCGGACAACCCCCACCCGCACCGUUCCACAACACCCCACCACAAAAAUGACAGGACAUCCGUACUGAACGCGGGAAAGAAACCACCCGGCCGCUAUCUGCUGAUAUUCCACCCAUGAGCACCCACCGCAGAACAGACGCCUGCGCAAUGGGCUUUGCUUCCACACACCCCCCACCAACCAUGCGGAAGGAAGAAGGGCGAUAAUGGUGCUCCUUAGAAAGGAGGUGAUCCAGCCGCACCUUCCGGUACGGCUACCUUGUUACGACUUAGUCCCAAUCGCCGGUCCCACCUUCGACGGCUCCCCCACAAGGGUUAGGCCACCGGCUUCGGGUGUUACCAACUUUCGUGACUUGACGGGCGGUGUGUACAAGGCCCGGGAACGUAUUCACCGCAGCGUUGCUGAUCUGCGAUUACUAGCGACUCCGACUUCAUGGGGUCGAGUUGCAGACCCCAAUCCGAACUGAGACCGGCUUUUUGGGAUUAGCUCCACCUCACAGUAUCGCAACCCUUUGUACCGGCCAUUGUAGCAUGCGUGAAGCCCAAGACAUAAGGGGCAUGAUGAUUUGACGUCGUCCCCACCUUCCUCCGAGUUGACCCCGGCAGUCUCCCAUGAGUCCCCACCACUACGUGCUGGCAACAUGGAACGAGGGUUGCGCUCGUUGCGGGACUUAACCCAACAUCUCACGACACGAGCUGACGACAACCAUGCACCACCUGUAAACCGACCGCAAGCGGGGCACCUGUUUCCAGGCGUUACCGGUUCAUGUCAAGCCUUGGUAAGGUUCUUCGCGUUGCAUCGAAUUAAUCCGCAUGCUCCGCCGCUUGUGCGGGCCCCCGUCAAUUCCUUUGAGUUUUAGCCUUGCGGCCGUACUCCCCAGGCGGGGCACUUAAUGCGUUAGCUACGGCGCGGAAAACGUGGAAUGUCCCCCACACCUAGUGCCCAACGUUUACGGCAUGGACUACCAGGGUAUCUAAUCCUGUUCGCUCCCCAUGCUUUCGCUCCUCAGCGUCAGUUAAUGCCCAGAGACCUGCCUUCGCCAUCGGUGUUCCUCCUGAUAUCUGCGCAUUUCACCGCUACACCAGGAAUUCCAGUCUCCCCUACAUCACUCUAGUCUGCCCGUACCCACUGCAGAACCGGAGUUGAGCCCCGGUCUUUCACAGCAGACGCGACAAACCGCCUACGAGCUCUUUACGCCCAAUAAUUCCGGAUAACGCUUGCGCCCUACGUAUUACCGCGGCUGCUGGCACGUAGUUAGCCGGCGCUUCUUCUGCAGGUACCGUCACUUACGCUUCUUCCCUACUGAAAGAGGUUUACAACCCGAAGGCCGUCAUCCCUCACGCGGCGUCGCUGCAUCAGGCUUCCGCCCAUUGUGCAAUAUUCCCCACUGCUGCCUCCCGUAGGAGUCUGGGCCGUGUCUCA
rnacentral:rRNA from 1 species